AUACCUUCCUCGGCCUUUUGGCUAAGAUCAAGUGUAGUAUCUGUUCAUAUUAGUUUAAUAUUUGAUAUGUGGGCCAUUGGUCCACAUGAUAUUAACUCAAUUUUUUGAGAGGAAGGUACACCAUGGUAGCUUGCUAUUGGGACCUUCACGUGUCGCCUUGGAGUUGCACUAUUGCCUUGGCCUAGCGCACCCCAC
rfam:Capsicum annuum cultivar Zunla-1 chromosome 7, whole genome shotgun sequence